AAUCUUCCGCAAUGGACGAAAGUCUGACGGAGCAAUGCCGCGUGAGUGAUGAAGGCCNNNGGGUCNUCAAACUCUGUUGUUAGNGACNAAUAGGUAUCGGAGUAAUAUGCCGGUACUUUGACUGUAGCUUACCAGAAAGCACCGGCUAACUACGUGCCAGCAGCCGCGGUAAUACGUAGGGGGCGAGCGUUGUCCGGAAUUAUUGGGCGUAAAGGGCGCGCAGGCGGUUUCUUAAGUCUGAUGUGAAAACUCGUGGCUUAACCACGAGCGGUCGUUGGAAACUGGGAAACUUGAGUACAGAAGAGGAGAGUGGAAUUCCACGUGUAGCGGUGAAAUGCGUAGAGAUGUGGAGGAACACCAGUGGCGAAGACGGCUCUCUGGUCUGUAACUGACGCUGAGAUGCGAAAGCGUGGGGAGCAAACA
rnacentral:rRNA from 1 species